GACCACGACCAAGAACACGCACAAACUGGAACCACAAGAGUACACUGUCAAAUCUUUGAUCAGUAAUGUGUGACAUCUUCCACUUCUAAUCUGCAUCUGCUGAUAACAUUUAACCAUUAAUACCAAGUAACAAUGACCUUUGGAAAUCAACUAGUAGAUUGCUUUUUCAAAAGUCAGGUUAAAAUUGAAUACCAACUACCAAG
rnacentral:lncRNA from 1 species